rnacentral:sRNA from 1 species
CCCACUACCUCUCCACAUAGAUCCGCCAAUGGUUGUAGAACCCGUGGUCAAAUCUGUUGGUUAUGUGUUGAUAGUAGGAUUUUUGUCAAUUAAUCCCUAAAACACUAUCUUGUCGUUGUAGUAUUUUAGGAUGUCAAUCCAAUCCGGUGUGAUGCAAACAGAUGAGAUAUGAUCAGAAAGCUCUAAGUCAAGUCAAGCAGAAAGUAGGUUGGUUCUAACAGUCCUAGUAUGCAAUAACAAAAAUGAAAUGAAACUAAAAGCAGAAAUGGCAAUAGUAGGCAAGUGAAUGACAAAGCAGAAAUGAUAACAGGCAAUCAAAUGGAUAAAUGAUUCCUAAGGAUGAGGGUAAUCGAAUAGUGUGGUCUACUUAAUCUAUUCAGGCGGUUGACAAAACUUCACAGAAGCUAUCCCUAGACAACAAGUUCAACAACAGAUUAAUUCACUCCCGUGAUAGAAAUCCUCAUGCAAAGCUAGACACUGACCUAAAUCCCUUUAGCGAUCUCUAACUAAGCAGGCAUUAUCGAAUCAACAUGUUAAAGUCAAUACCCUCUCUACAGCCAAUCCCUUGGGGUAGAGUCAGAUAUCUCUGGAAUUAAUAGGAUCCAACGCCCAUUAAACGCCUUCUGAGCGCUGGACGUCUGGACUCAUAUUCCACAUUAGCCAGUGAAACAAGCAGUAAGCGCAACUAAUCCAGAAGGGAUUCUAGUAUUCUAAACUCAACCACCUAAAACGACCAAGUAAACCACAACUAUUCUAUCCCAUCCUCAGAAAUACAGUUCACUACUCAAACAUAAUCAAAGACAAUAGCAAAGCAACAAUUGAAAACAUGAUAGCAGAAAUGACGAAAGACUUAAACGAAAACUGAAUAUCAAAUACUUGAAAGGGAAAAUACAAAGUCGCAGGAGAAACACUGCGCCUAUCAAGGUUGCGAAAAUGUAAAAGCGAGAUAAUAACGGAUAAUAGCGGAUGCCCUAGGGAAAACCCUAAGAGACAGUUUAUAUAAGCGAGAAAUGAAACAAAUAAGGAAACUA